ACAAUAACAGGCCACAAAGAGACGUAAAUUCACUGAAGUCAAUCCUACAGUGAAUAUACGACAGUCCAUAGAAUUAAACGUCUGUUUAAGGUACUUUGAGUAGUUUGAUACAAUACUGGUCUGUCUGCAACAUGUAAGUGGAAGUAUUAUUUCUCCACACUUCAGUGAUGUUAAGGAUAGCCUAUCUUGCCACUAUGACAACAAUAAUAACAAGAGGUGGAGAUACGUGGUUGAGAAACCACAGCCUGAGGGCACAGCAGUGCCUGAUCCUGGAUUAUGAGACACGUCCCCACUUCGGUGUGUUGCAAAACCAACAGACUCCAGAACACACCUUAAGCAGGACCAGUUCCUGCCAAACACACAUCCCUUAAGGCUACAGAGAAAGAGGGACUCAUAGAAAUAACAUAACUACAGGGCAAGGCUGUGUCUCCAGCUCACCCGGUGCUGCCUAUGUUUACACUAACACUCUCAGACCUUGACAAUGACUGCUGAGGUCUUGGUGGCUACACCCUACUGAAUAAACUGAUGUGUUGAGAGAAAAUGAGGGGAAGGGUGAUUAUGGGAAGGCACAAAGCAAAGCUCAGAGAAAAGGCAGACUGUUUGUGUAGAGUAUAGAAAGUUGUGAUUAUUUGCUUAAACGCAUACAAUGUACUUUGUGCGUAAAAGAGCAAGGGCACAUGCACACGUUGUUAGUUUGAAAGCGUAUUUUAGACACUUGUAUGUGUGUACAGGAUUUGCUACAGCAUAUUUGAAGGCUACAGUGGUAUAACAUGUCAUAAACUUGUGAGGACGC